rnacentral:lncRNA from 13 species
CAGCUGUAGGCACUCGCCACACUUGCCUCAAUCUCCUGGGAGACCCGGAGUCAGACUAGUUCAGCUCAGCUGCUCUCAAAUUCCUGGCCCACAAAACCUGCAAGAGCUAAUAAACAACAUUGCUUUGCUGGAACCACAAGGAGGGGCUUUUUCUAAUACUGAUAGUCUGGAAAUCAACUGGCAUCAUAAUUCUAACAAGGGUAAGUGGCUAAUAGCUAAUAUAACUGGCU